AGUUGCUGUAACAGGCAAUGGAGGUCCGAACCAGUUUACGUUGAAAAGUAUUUGGAUGAGUUGUGGGUAGGGGUGAAAGGCCAAUCAAACUGGGAGAUAGCUCGUACUCCCCGAAAUGUCUUUAGGGACAGCCUUGUUAUUAAAGUGUGCCAGAGGUAGAGCUACUGAUUGGACUAGGGGGUUUCAUCGCCUACCAAAUCCUGACAAACUCCGAAUGCUGGUACAUAUAGACAGGAGUGAGGCUGCGGGUGCUAAGGCCCGUGGCCGAGAGGGGAACAACCCAGACCAUCAGCUAAGGUCUCUAAAUAUAUGCUAAGUUGGAUAAACGUGGUGCGAUUGCUAAGACAGCUAGGAUGUUAGCUUGGAAGCAGCUAUUCAUUUAAAGAGUGCGUAACAGCUCACUAGUCGAGUGGUCGUGCGCGGAAAAUAAUCGGGCAUCAAGCAUAUUACCGAAGCUAUGGAUUGUACUUAUAGUACAGUGGUAGGGGAGGCAUUCUGGUCUGCGUUGAAGGUG
rnacentral:rRNA from 1 species